rnacentral:rRNA from 1 species
GGGCCCGCACAAGCGGUGGAGCAUGUGGUUUAAUUCGAUGAUACGCGAGGAACCUUACCAGGGCUUAAAUGUAGUGGGACAGGUCUAGAGAUAGACCCUUCUUCGGACUCAUUACAAGGUGCUGCAUGGUUGUCGUCAGCUCGUGCCGUGAGGUGUCAGGUUAAGUCCUAUAACGAGCGCAACCCCUAUCGUUAGUUGCCAGCGGGUAAUGCCGGGAACUCUAGCGAAACUGCCGGUGCAAACCGAGAGGAAGGUGGGGAUGACGUCAAAUCAUCACGGCCCUUACGUCCUGGGCUACACACGUGCUACAAUGGCCGGUACAGAGAGCAGCCACUACGCGAGUAGGAGCGAAUCUAUAAAACCGGUCUCAGUUCGGAUCGCAGUCUGCAACUCGACUGCGUGAAGCUGGAAUCGCUAGUAAUCG